GACAGAGGUGCCGAGCGUUAGGCGGAAUCACUGGGCUUAAAGCGUGUGUAGGCGGGUCCGUAAGUACCUUGUGAAAUCCCACGGCUCAACCGUGGAACUGCUCGGUAUACUGCGGGUCUUGAGCUGUCUAGGGGCGACCGGAACAAGCGGUGGAGCGGUGAAAUGCGUAGAUAUCGGAAGGAACACCAGUGGCGAAAGCGGCUUCCUGGUCCAGCACCGACGUUCAGGCACGAAAGCGUGGGGAGCAAACAGG
rnacentral:rRNA from 1 species